GGAUCGGUAGCUCAGACGGUAGAGCGGUCGGUUGAAGGCCGACGCGGCGUAGGUUCAAGUCCUUCCCGAUCCACCA
rnacentral:tRNA from 1 species